AACGAACGCUGGCGGCAUGCCUAACACAUGCGAGUCGAACGAGACCUUCGGGUCUAGUGGCGCACGGGUGCGUAACGCGUGGGAACCUGCCCUUAGGUUCGGAAUAACUCCCCGAAAGGGGUGCUAAUACCGGAUAAUGUCUUCGGACCAAAGAUUUAUCGCCUUUGGAUGGGCCCGCGUUGGAUUAGCUAGUUGGUAGGGUAAAAGCCUACCAAGGCGACGAUCCAUAGCUGGUCUGAGAGGAUGAUCAGCCACACUGGGACUGAGACACGGCCCAGACUCCUACGGGAGGCAGCAGUGGGGAAUAGUGGACAAUGGGCGAAAGCCUGAUCCAGCAAUGCCGGGUGAGUGAUGAAGGCCUUAGGGUUGUAAAGCUCUUUUACCCGGGAUGAUAAUGACAGUACCGGGAGAAUAAGCGCCGGCUAACUCCGUG
rnacentral:rRNA from 1 species